rnacentral:rRNA from 1 species
GAAAGAAUAUCGGAGACGGAUGGGCAUGCGGCGCAUUAGCUAGUUGGCGGGGUAACGGCCCACCAAGGCGACGAUGCGUAGGGGUUCUGAGAGGAAGGUCCCCCACACUGGUACUGAGACACGGACCAGACUCCUACGGGAGGCAGCAGUGAGGAAUAUUGGUCAAUGGGCGAGAGCCUGAACCAGCCAAGUCGCGUGAGGGAGUACUGCCCUAUGGGUUGUAAACCUCUUUUGUCGGGGAGCAAAAGCCGGACGUGUCCGUCUGUGAGAGUACCCGAAGAAAAAGCAUCGGCUAACUCCGUGCCAGCAGCCGCGGUAAUACGGAGGAUGCGAGCGUUAUCCGGAUUUAUUGGGUUUAAAGGGUGCGCAGGCGGAUUUUUAAGUCAGCGGUCAAAUCGUGGGGCUCAACCCCAUCCAGCCGUUGAAACUGGGGAUCUAGAGUGUGCGAGAGGUAUGCGGAAUGCGUGGUGUAGCGGUGAAAUGCAUAGAUAUCACGCAGAACCCCGAUUGCGAAGGCAGCACACCGGUGCACAACUGACGCUCAGGCACGAAAGCGUGGGUAUCGAACAGGAUUAGAUACCCUGGUAGUCCACGCAGUAAACGAUGAAUGCUACCUGUUUGGCCAGAUCGAAGGCUGA